rnacentral:rRNA from 1 species
GGACCUGACUGCUAUCGGAUUGAUACUAAGCCAUGCGAGUCAUUGUAGCAAUACAAGGCAGACGGCUCAGUAACGCGUAGUCAACCUAUCCUAUGGACGGGAAUAACCUCGGGAAACUGAGUAUAAUGCCCGAUAGAACAUUAUACCUGGAAUGGUUUAUGUUCCAAAUGAUUUAUCGCCGUAGGAUGGGACUGCGGCCUAUCAGUUUGUUGGUGAGGUAAUGGCCCACCAAGACUAUUACAGGUACGGGCUCUGAGAGGAGUGGCCCGGAGAUGGGUACUGAGACACGGACCCAGGCCCUAUGGGGCGCAGCAGGCGAGAAAACUUUGCAAUGUGCGAAAGCACGACAAGGUUAAUCCGAGUGGUUUCUGCUAAAGGAACCUUUUGUCAGUCCUAGAAACACUGAUGAAUAAGGGGUGGGCAAGUUCUGGUGU